AUGAAAUAUUACAAAAUAAAUGGAUAAAUAUAAGCCGAGGUUUAUUUAAUUACUUAAUCAUUGGUUUAUUGGUCUAUUUAAUUAAUUAUUAAUUUAAUUAUUUCAUUUAGAGUGCUUUGGUCCUCCAUGUUAGUGGACUUUCUUAUAAUAGAAUAAAAUGCAGAUCCAAAUCGAAAAAAGCAUUAUUCAUCAUUAUACGUGUAUAAGACACAUCGUAUGCUGCAGUUUAAUUUAGAUGGUUCAAUUAUUAUUGUUGUACAACCUUUUUAUUUUAAAUUUUUUGUUUCUAUCUGGCUUUUUCUUUUUGUUUAAUUGUUCUCUUUCCUCUUCAGUUGCUGUAAUGAAUUAGGAGUGUUCUUUGCAUCAAUUUCUCUCAAUUCGCUUCACUUUUGUCCAGUUUGGCGCCUCAUACCCGUUCACACACACACACGGAUUUUAUUGCUGCAAGUCGCCAGUCGCUAUACUAUGACGUCGCCAGUAGGCGUUCCUACUACUGGUUGACAUAGUAACGUGGAUGGCGGAACUAACAUUCCACUUUGGACAACAAACCAGUUUUUUUUUGUCUUGCUGCUAAUAUUAAACAUUCUGGAGGGAGAGGAUCUUAUAUAAAAUUCACCAGUGUAUAUAUCAUCGUACGAGUUGAGCAAAAUCCCGGUGUAGCUCCUGUCUCAGUGAGCGUCCGCCACCAUCAGGGUCUAUCUGUUCGAUGGUGACCAGGAGCCGGACCGCAGUUAUGCGGCUGUGGCCUCGGUGUUUCCUGGGUGAAGUGUCCGGCUUGUUGCGGCUCAUUCCCGGGCACCGAAGCACCGAAGCAACGACACGCCGGACACUUUACCCAAGACAGGAGCUACAUUUGGAUUUUGCUCGAUCGCAACAAAAAAUGAGUGUUUCAUUAUUAUUUAUUUAUUGAAUGUAUUUAUAUAUAUUUUGUGCUUUAAACUUGCUGAAAUCCUAAGCUAAAAUACGCUAAGCUAAGCUAACUGGCUACUGCCACAACGGCGCUGCUUCUGCUACUGAGCAGGGGUGUGGCCAGGGAUUACGUGCGCUCUACUGUCUUCACUCCCAUUGGUAGGCGCUGCACCAAGUCGCUCCAGUUUUGCAUAAAGUUGGUAGCACGGAAGCUGUAGGUGUUGUGUGCUGUUUAUUUUGAGUCGGUCUUUUGUUUAGGGGGGUUAGGUUAGACUCGAUUUUAUUUUGAAAUACCUUUUCUGUUUUGUUAGUUAAAUUGAUGCGGGUUUUGUGAUGGCGCCUGUUUUGUUGAUUAUUUUGGCCUUGCCCUGCCCUGAAGAGAUUUGCUUUCUGAGUGAUUGUUUUGUUUUGGGAUUAUUUCCUUCUUGCAACCAUUAAAUUGGCAGAGAUCAAAGAGUUGAA